rnacentral:lncRNA from 1 species
GUUUCCGUACACAGGAGCGAGCUUCAAUCCAGCAAGAUCAUUUGGACCAGCUAUCGUCACGAAUACGUGGAGACUGCAUUGGGUGUACUGGGUCGCUCCUGUAUUGGGAGGCAUCAUUGGCGGUGUGACUUACGAUUACACCCAAGAAACACGAUCACAGCAAAGCUUGAGACGUUCAUUUCGCAAGAAGAAUGGCAGAAUGAAUCUCAACAGAGAUAUGAGCGCUCUCUCCGGUAAUGAAACGGAGCUAACUUUAGAUCAGUGCAGACUUUGACUGUCAUUGAAAUAAUGUCCACUGUAAAGAAUGCCUGACCUUCGCUCUAAUUAUGAUUUUUUUUUUUUUUUUUUUUUUCAAAAUCAAAAAAAACUUUAACUGAUAAAUAUCUUGAAUUUGGAUUAUUCUUUAUUUCUGUAAAAUUUUAAUUUUUUAUUACGUACAAAAUUAGAGUAUGAAUACAGUAAGUACGACAGGAUGGAUCACAUUUUAAUAUGUCUUUUAAUUUAGAAGUAUUAAAUCAGAAAAAUGCUGUUGCUAAUUUAAAAAAGAAUUCCUUUCACAAGAAUCUAUGUGGUGGUUAAUUUAAGUUGCUGAAGUGAAGAGUUAUAUCUGUAAAGAAAGAGAAUCUUAUUAAUUUUCUGACUGCUAUCGUCCUGCCAUAGCGCCUUGAAUUGUUAUGUAAGGUCAAUGACAUUAAUUUAUGUUACAAUUUACUGAGCUUGAGCAUUAGUACAAGUUUACUGUCAAAAAUAAGUUAUCAAAUUCCAGAUCUGGAAUGAAGAACUUCGAUGUAAAUAGAAUGGUUGUAUAUUAAAAAUCCAAAGAAAAUUUUUGUUAGCUUGAUGUCAACGCAUAAAAGUGAGUUUUUCUAUGCUCUCUUUCUCAACUUCUUCUAUAACAUGAUAACAAAAUAUCAUAAUCAAUGAACUAGAAAUUACUUGGACUUUUCUUCAGAAACUUUAAUAAACUCCAUACAUUUAAAUUUCGUUAAAUUAUGUAAAGCAUUAUUAAUAUGCAUAUGUGAUUUCAGAGACAUUACAAAUUUGCAGUUAGUACAUUUAGGGCAAAAUUAAUCUGAUGAAAAUAUUUUUGAAACGUUGAAAUAACUCUUGUUGAAGUUAAAAGCAGAUUAUUACGUUUACAUAUCAAUAUAUGCUGAAGCCUAUAUACUGCAUACUAGUACAAAGCUAGUAGAAGCUUCUUAGCGAUUUAGCUUCUCUGGUUUUAUUUUUAAAGUAUGCUGAUUUCACAUGGUUACAAGUCAAUAAACUUAGUUAACUGUUUCUUUGUAUUAAGAAUUUUUUAAUAAUUUUUUACUUCUGAAUAAACUAACAUUUUAAUUAGUUCUAAAUGCUUGAAAUAUAUGCUACGUCACUAAUCAAAGUAAAUAAAUACAUAAAAACGUAAAUGAGCUUUUGGAUAGACACUUAGAAAUUACGUUACUGUGUGAAAGUCAGGCAUUUUAUUGAACAUUAGACAUUUCUGGACCAAAGAUCUUCAGAAACUGGUGAGACAAAUAGGAUGGAGGGCACGUAAAUUUUAAAAAAUAUUCCUUCCAUUAUACCUAAAUAAAAAAUUUUAAUUUUUAAUCAAAAUGCUCCUUUACAUUUAUAUCUAAAUUAGAUUUCAUAUUCAUAGAAUGGUACUAACAUAAACAUAUAUAUAUAUAUAUAUAUGUGUGUGUGUGUGUGUGUGUGUUUAUGUUACUACCAUAUAUAUAAUCUGAUAUAUCUGAUAGUUUUAAUUUAUGAGUUAGAGAACUUUUAAGAGAUUUUGAAAUUAAUCCCAAUUUUGAUGACUAGAUCUUUGUGUUGAGAAUCUCUUUCAAGCUUUUCUAAAGUUAGCAAUAAUAGCCAAUCAGCUUCAGCCUAUUGCAUUAAUCAUUUUUGCCGUUAAAUGUAUAGAUUUUUAUUAUUUUAUUUUUAGUUCUGUGGAUAAAUUCAUUUAUAGUAUUUCAUUAAACCCUGAAAUCCCAAGAUGUGCUGUAUAAUUGGGAGAAAUAAUGCAUUUUAAAAGUAACUUUCUCAGAAUUCCUUUCCCACACUUUUAUAUAAAAUAAUGCGUCGUAUUUGGAAUACUAGAUAUGUAAAUUAUCCAUUAGCAAACUCCAUUCUAAUAGCGACCAUAUCAAAAUUUACCAUUAAAAUUUUAUUGAAACAUUUUGAGAGAGUUAUUAUUAUUAUUUUAUUAUCUUUUGCCUAAUGAAGCCAAAAGCUAUCAAAAACGUCUAAAAAGUUAAAAUUUUACAUUAAUCAUAAAAUGUCAGAAUAAUUUAUAUUCGUCAUACAUCUGCUAUCAGCAGAUUUCUGAUAAAAGGUAAACGAAACUAUAUUACUUAAAGUAAAAGCAAAGUGGUUUCUAUUUUUUUAAGAAAGAACGUAAAAAUUCAUUUAUAAGUCAAAACUUCUUUUUCAUAUCGUAAUUUUCCAUACCAUCGCAUUAAAAAUCCAUUUAAACUAACACAAAUAUUAAUUAAAGAAAUAGCAAAGUAAUGUUCUUAUCUAGCAAUAUUUCUAAAAGCAGCUUUUGAAUGAAUUUUAAAUUAAACAGAGUUAAACAAAUCAUUUAGCAUCCCGCUAUGUCACACAAUCAAUUACAAUGUCGCCUUCCAUCCUACCACCAGUGAUUUCGAUAAUAAAAGUGUAACUGCAUGCUCAUAAAUAACCUUCAACAAAACAUGAACUAUUUAUUCUCUAUUGAAAAGGAAGCAGAAAUUGGACAAGAAUACGAAUGUGCAUCGUGUAAUAUCUGAAAAUCAUGCUGCUAUGACGACGCCUGAAGCUGUUUGUUCCCAUUCGAAUUCCUGUUCUGUGCCACAUAUUUAGCCGGGCAAAUCUUCAGACUUUUAUCCCAGAUGCUUUUAUGGCUUUCGUUGUACCCAUUCCUCUUCAUAUAUAUAUAUAUAUAUUCAAAUAAAAUUUUGUUUUAGAAUAAAGCUCUCAUUCAAUCUUUAUAUCUACACAUGACAAAAUACUGCAGUUUAUGUGCAAAAGAUAACUUUAAUUCUCCUCUAUCAUUUUGUGUUUCCAACUGUCGUCUAAUUACUCUUCUCUAUUCUCCAGGAAUAAACAGCUAUAUUUAAAAGGCAAA